GAUGAACGCUGGCGGCGUGCCUAAUACAUGCAGGUAGAACGCUGAAGCUUGGUGCUUGCACCGAGCGGAUGAGUUGCGAACGGGUGAGUAACGCGUAGGUAACCUGCCUGGUAGCGGGGGAUAACUAUUGGAAACGAUAGCUAAUACCGCAUAACAGUCGACAUUGCAUGAUGUUGAUUUGAAAGGGGCAAAUGCUCCACUACCAGAUGGACCUGCGUUGUAUUAGCUAGUUGGUGAGGUAACGGCUCACCAAGGCGACGAUACAUAGCCGACCUGAGAGGGUGAUCGGCCACACUGGGACUGAGACACGGCCCAGACUCCUACGGGAGGCAGCAGUAGGGAAUCUUCGGCAAUGGACGGAAGUCUGACCGAGCAACGCCGCGUGAGUGAAGAAGGUUUUCGGAUCGUAAAGCUCUGUUGUAAGGGAAGAACGAGUGUGAGAGUGGAAAGUUCACACUGUGACGGUAACUACCAGAAAGGAC
rnacentral:rRNA from 1 species